rnacentral:rRNA from 1 species
CUACGGGUCGCUGCAGUGAGGAAUUUUGCGCAAUGGGGGGAACCCUGACGCAGCAACGCCGUGUGAGUGAAGAAGGCCUUUGGGUCGUAAAGCUCUGUCAACUGGGAAGAAGUUACUAUGCUUAAAUAGAGUGUAGUAUUGACGGUACCAGUGGAGGAAGCGUCGGCUAACUCCGUGCCAGCAGCCGCGGUAACACGGGGGACGCAAGCGUUAUUCGGAAUUAUUGGGCGUAAAGGGCGCGUAGGCGGUCUUGUCGGUCAGGUGUGAAAGCCCGGGGCUCAACCCCGGACGUGCACUUGAAACAGCAAGACUUGAGUACGGGAGAGGAAAGCGGAAUUCCUGGUGUAGAGGUGAAAUUCGUAGAUAUCAGGAGGAACACCGAUGGCGAAGGCAGCUUUCUGGACCGAAACUGACGCUGAGGCGCGAAGGCGUGGGUAGCGAACGGGAUUAGAUACCCGAGUAGUC